rnacentral:sRNA from 1 species
AUAUUUAUAUAAUAAAUUAUUGAGGGUGAGGAAUACGUAAGGAGCUCCACUAUCAAAUUCUUAAGUUUCUAGAAUCCAACACUACCAUCUAUUAAAUUGGUUUAAGACAAACGUUGUUUAUGAAUUAUGUGCAUGAUGCAUUGGUGAGAAUUUGUUAGAAAAAAUAUUUUAAAUACUAAAAGUAAUUGCUUAUUGUAUGAGUGAAUA